GAUGAACACUAGCGGCAGGCCUAACACAUGCAAGCCGAACGGUAAUUUUUUUCCGACUUGUCGGGAGAGAAACGAGUGGCGGACGGGUGAGUAAUGCGUAUGCAACCUACCUUUAACCGGGGAAUAGCUCCGAGAAAUCGGAAUUAACACCCCAAAUAUCCUAGUAACACAUGUUAUAGGGAUUAAAGCUCUGGCGGUUAAUGAUGGGCAUGCGUGACAUUAGCUAGUUGGUGAGGUAACGGCUCACCAAGGCAACGAUGUCUAGGGGGUCUUAAAGGAUGGUCCCCCACACUGGUACUGAGACACGGACCAGACUCCUACGGGAGGCAGCAGUGGGGAAUACUGGGCAAUGGGUGAAAGCCUGACCCAGCCAUGCCGCGUGCAGGAAGAAUGCCUUAUGGGUUGUAAACUGCUUUUGUAUAGGAAGAAACCCCCGAUCGUGAUCGGGGCUGACGGUACUAUACGAAUAAGGAUCGGCUAACUCCGUGCCAGCAGCCGCGGUAAUACGGAGGAUCCAAGUGUUAUCCGGAUUUAUUAGGUUUAAAGGGUGCGUAGGCGGAAUUAUAAGUCAGUGGUGAAAUCCUACAGCUUAACUGUAGAACUGCCAUUGAAACUAUUAUUCUUGAGUAUAGUUGAGGUAGGCGGAACGUGUUAUGUAGCGGUGAAAUGCUUAGAUAUAACACAGAACACCAAUUGCGUAGGCAGCUUACUAAACUAUUACUGACGCUGAGGCACGAAAGCGUGGGUAGCGAACAGGAUUAGAUACCCUGGUAGUCCACGCCGUAAACGAUGAUUACUCGAUGUAUGCGAUAUACAGUAUGCGUUCUAGCGAAAGCAUUAAGUAAUCCACCUGGGGAGACGUCGGCAACGAU
rnacentral:rRNA from 1 species